rnacentral:lncRNA from 1 species
UUAUUGUGGAGUAAGCCGGAGAUCCACAUUUAUUGUGGAGUAAGCCGGAGAUCCGCAUUUAUUGUGGAGUAAGCCGGAGAUCCGCAUUUAUUGUGGAGUGUGCCGGAGGAUCACAGCGGUCAUGCGCAAUAAAUGCCGGAGGGGCGUCAUAGUACGGUCUCUGGCCGGACCUCAGAGACGUACGGCCGUAGUAGGUGGCUGACAAAAGUAGGCCUCGGACAUUGGGGUUUCUCUUAGGUCGGAGGUUCCGAGUUCGGAUGCCGACUUCGGCCUUCCAGGGUCGACGAUUGUGCGGCUUCUUAGGGGCAUUCGUGUCAUUUGGGAGAAAAACCUUAUUCCCCCAACACUACCCCCCGACUUCCGAGUUCGAGCGGCUUGUGGGCUCGGACGUAGGAAGUAAAGUCCAUCGUUAAAGUUGGGGGGCGAACUUCGUCCGCACCCUCAUGUUUCUUGGAAUUUUCGUGGUAGGACCUGCGCCCUUGGGCGUUUCGAGGUUACUUUAUUCGGCGAAUUAAUGAUGGGGUCCAUAUCCCUACGUCUUUCAAGGCGACUAUAGCGGGGGCGGUGUCUCUUGGAUUACCGAGGUUGGUUUGUGAGGCGGACCCAGGAUGAGGGUCCUCGGGUUCGACGGGGUGGCGCCUCGGCGCCACAAUCGAGAAUUCCCGCUCAUUAAUGAGCGUGCCAUUUUAGGUUUCAAAACGGACACGCGGCAUGACCAGGGGUCGGACGCUUCCGAUUUCGUGUUACCGGGUCAUAAUUUCGGAGGAGUGGAGGUCACACCGGGGCUCCACGUGUCCCAGAUUUUAUUAAACGAGGGGAGCGGGGGUGCCGUCCGCUCAUUCUUCGAGGCGAUGGGGUUCUGUGGACCCAUAAUGAGGUCCCGAGAUCCGAUGGGACAACACUUUGAUUUCGUAUUCGAUUUAUUGAUCCGGAGUGGAUGCAGUGCCUCGGCCUCAGAGGUCGCCACGUGGCGCAGCCCGAUCGGGGGAUGGGAACCGACCCCAUCGAUCUGGGCCGUCAGGGGGGUCUAUAUAAACCCCACGAGUCUGCCCUAAAGGUCUUGUUUGGCUUCCCCUCAUUUUCGUCGUCUUUUUUCCCUUGUUUUCUCCCUCAACCGAAUUUUGCCGGCGGUGCUCGGAGCAAUUUCUGGCAANNNNNNNNNNAGUAGGUUUUCUUCCUGUUUUCACUAGAGUUUCCUCUUUUCUUCUCCUUGCCAACUUCCAUUUUCUGCUCUUAAUUUUUACUCCAUUCUUCUGUGAGAAUGAGUCUCGGUCCCGAAGAAGUUGGGUCGAAUAUGUCAGAGGAGGAACUGGAGACAAUCCGCUCCCGUUUCUUCUUCCAGCCCGGGUUUCGUCUUGAAACCGCAGGGCCGGGGGACAGGGUGACGCAGCCGUCCUCCGACGCUCAAGUCAGGGAGGGGGCAAAUCGUGUAGAGUAGAGGUAAACGGUGCGUGUCCUCAGUAUCGAUUUUCCAACCCCCUUUUAUAGACCGGGGGUCGGUUUACCUGCGAUGUAACGGGGCGAAGCCGUAGUACGGCUCGGCAUGUCGUUCAGGUCGGCGCUUGGUCAGGCGAAUAAUUGCACUGAUAUCGGCGAUGAGGGCGUUGUACAACCCGAACUAGCACGCUACCAGGCGAAUUUAUUGCAUCAAUGUCGGAGGUAUGGCCGAGAUCAGAGACUUAUCACAGUUGACUAGACUCUGCUGGGCUUAUUUGCCGUGGAGAGCUGGGAGUCCGUAGAUGACAGGAGUCACGUGCAUUAAUUGUUGAGUGAGCCGGAGAUCCACAUUUAUUGUGGAGUAAGCCGGAGAUCCGCAUUUAUUGUGGAGUAAGCCGGAGAUCCGCAUUCAUUGUGGAGUAAGCCGGAGAUCCAUAUUUAUUGUGGAGUAAGCUGGAGAUCCAUAUUUAUUGUGGAGUGUGCCGGAGGAUCACAGCGGUCAUGCGCCAUAAAUGUCAGAGAGGCGCCAUAGUACGGUCUCUGGCCGGACCUCGGAGACGUAUAGCCGUAGUAGGUAGCUGACAAAAGUAGGCCUCGGGCAUUGGGGUUUCUCUUAGGUCGGAGAUUCCGAGUUCGGGUGCCGACUUCGGCCUUCCAGGGUCGACGAUUGUGCGGCUUCUUUGGGGCAUUCGUGUCAUUUGGGGGAAAAACCUUAU